CCGGUCCCUGACCCCUGAAAAUUUUUGAAAACUUUAGUUUUGACUCUCAAAAAUAAAAACCAAGUCUUCUAAACAUUUUUAACAAAAACUCACCACAAAUUAUUUAUAAUCAUACCUGAGAUUUCAAGGGUCUUUGAUUACAAGACUUCAACUCUUUCUUCGAUCUUCAUCUUCUAAUUCUUCGAGACUCCAUUCAAUACUUCACGAAAUUCGCCAACUUAUAAAAUCCUUAACAGUUUUUACACCUAUUCACCCCCCUCUAAGUGUAACUUACCUUUUAGAUCCUCGGGAUCCAU
rnacentral:lncRNA from 1 species